ACAAGGUUCGAUAUGAUCAGAGUGCAUACUUAUGAUACGUGCCACUCCAACGGAUCAGUCCCUUAGUUUCCACUGCGGCCACCGUAGAAAAAACAUGUGAUAUGUAAAAAAAUAUGGAAGGGAGCAGUAUUUAAAAAAAGAAUCUGGACAACAUUAUCAAUCUCUCAGACAGAUUCGACGGACAGCUAUCGCUAGUUCUCUGAGAAAAAAAUCUCAAGCUAUAAACUAUUACGUUCCGAUUCAACAAGAUGAAGCACGCUGGGGACAUGUAUCUUCUCAUUCGAAAUCUUGUUAAACCUCUUACACCUUGAAGGAGAUACUCAUUAACGCCUGUGGCUUAUAAAUAUUUAGACAUAGGAAUCAGCGUAGGACUUGUAUCCCAUGUGGAAAUUGCAUUUGGUGAUACUCGAGAUAACCGGAUAAUCUUAUCUCACGCGACAUAGAAGGCAUUCAUCGACAGACGCGAGGAUAUUGAGCAGCUUCAGCGGUCUGUAAUUACGCUAUCGUUCCUAACCAUUCAAGGUCUGAAUGUGUAAAUCGAUCGGAAUUUUGUAAACUGUAUGGUACAAAUAAAGUAAAAUUAUCAUGCAAUAAAUGUUUUUAUAUAAUGCCAUUAAUCUUGCUUUUCAUGCUUGAUCUCGAACAUUGUGUCAAGCAUGUAUAUUUAGGACUCUCUCAGAAUGUGAUAA